rnacentral:pre_miRNA from 1 species
UAACUACUCCCUCCGUUCAGAAUUACUUGUCACAGAAAUGGAUGUAUCUAGAUGUAUUUUAGUUCUAGAUACAUCCAUUUCCGAGACAAGUAAUUCCGAAUGGAGGGAGUAGUCA